rnacentral:piRNA from 1 species
UGCAAAACAGAAAGAAGUUGAGGUUCACUGC